rnacentral:lncRNA from 1 species
GUUUAUGCAAAAUGAACAUAGUUUGAUGCAGAAGGAAACCAAUGUGGUGGCACAAGAUAGAAGAGGGUGAUGGGGCAGGAGAUGAAAAAGCAGACAACACUUGUUUGAAGUUCUCCUCUUGGUCUUGACAUGCCAGCAUCAAGUCAGGCGUUUAAGGAACAAAAUAAAAACAACAAAUGGGAGCUUUCUGAGAGUGACACUAUUCCUGUCUUUAGAUCUCUAUUAAAAGAAUGUGGUGUUUUCCAUUCGAUUAGACAACAAAGACUAUCUUCUUCUUGCACCUCUGAAGCUGUUGUCAGAGUGCUCCUGUGGCUGCUGAGCCCUGGCAGUCCUCCUCAGCAUCCUUUACUUUAUUUACUCCAUUUCCUCAAUGAGAAGAAGAGAAAGAAAAAGGAGAAUCACAACUCCGGAAAACUCAAAACCAAUUUGAGAAAACUUAGUAUAAACUGAGAAAAAUUCUUACAAAAUGAUUUCUCAACUCAAGGUUCCAAAACACGGGAAGGAAGAUGGAAUGACAGUAGAUGGUGGAUCAACAGUUGUCAUUAUUUGUGAUGUCAGAGAUUUGAAAAGCCAAUCAUCUUGUUGCCUGAUGUGCAAUUUUUAACUUAUUAUACACACGGUAAUUGGAAAGUAUAAGCACAUGUCCCACAGAGUGACAUUUUUGAGAAGAAAAUUGUGUGACCAUAGAAAGGUCAUUUAACUAGUUUAAUAACUAGUUUAAACUAUGUAUCAGUUUACUCCUCUAUAAAAUGAGAAAUUUUAAAAAGAGUAACAGAUGAUCUUUACAUUUUGAAUCCUCCAAUGGAAGGUUACUUUUGGAAGGGUCCUGGAACCAGGAGUGACAUUCAAUUUUAGGGAUUCUAAACAACAACAAAAAAAUAAUAUAUAAUCUAACCUGCCCAAAUAUUUUCAACGUGACCACUUACUUGAAAAAGAAAGGACACUAGUAACUGUAGCAAAGACUGUCAUGAGAAUAAAUGACCCCAAUUUCAACGAUACUCUCUAAAG